CUCAGUUUCCAGAGAGAAGGAAAAUGAUCAUGAAAUAAAAGAGAGUUUCUAUCUUGGAAAGGGAGAGUGAAAAGAAUGGACUUGCUGUUGCAGAGAUCAGGAAUAAACACAUCUUAACUUCAAAGGAAAGCAUGUGUACCAGACCUGUAAUUUCAUUGGCAUAGCAAACUCCCUGGAUGAGGAAUACCCACGAGAAGUCAGCAUCUUCCCUGCAAUUUAGACUCAUAGAAUGUCCUGAAAAGUGAGAGAUUAAGGGAUUUGUGCAAAGUUACAAUGCAGUUUGUGAGAUGGGACAUGCAACCCACAGAAGGGACCUGAUGGAUUUCCUGUUGUCACCAUCUCCACCCUUAGAUGACACCCCGGUUUUAACCUGCUCCCGAGAUCUGGGCUUCAAUCUUUGGACUCUCAACUGCCCUUCAGCCUGGAGAACAUGGGAUAACUGACUGGGAACGACUGACCAGGACACACACCCCUUAGAUGCCCUGCUGUCAUCCCCAAACCCCACACCUCAUGCCUCAACUCCUGGCAUGAAACCCCAAAUCUCUACGACCCUUGCCAGCUCGAAGCAGUUAAGAGAUCGGCACCCCUUUUCCCACAUGCUUUUGGAGGUGACUGCUUGGGGGGGGGGGAUGAAGAGGGGACCUCCGAAUUUGGAAAACCCUGGAAGGAGAAAAUCCUCAAUUCUGUCUCAAUUUUGCCCCAUGUCUUUUUCCUUAAAUGAAUUUAAGUUCCAACUGCUUGAGGGGGGAAUGAUGUGGGAGAAUGAUGUAGGAAAGAUUCCUUUCUAGAUUCCCAUCCUCUCCUAGUUAAUAAUGUAAAUUGCCCUUUAACUCACAAAUCCUGGUCCCUUUGAAUUCCAAUAGAAAAUCCGGACCUGUCCCAGCCCCACCCAGGUCUGAGCCAACUUUGGGGCUACACCCAAAAACCCUCGAGCUAAGUCUCCCAUUAUAAAAGGGAGAUACUGGGACCCCCUCUUUGCAGAGAUUCCAAACAUGCUAGCCAUGUGAGGAUCCUCUGUCCACUGGACCCUCUGUCCGGUGCCCUCCUUAUCUCUAUCUUCACUUAUCUCCUUACUUCCAAACCCAAUAAUAAACCUCUUAUCAAUCUAGCUCUCAGGGCCAAUAAAUGUUUUUAUUGAGGACUCCCUGCUACUAGACCCUAUUUACCACCGUAUCCUUGUGCCGAAUCCAAGGGGGUUGCAGGGGAGCUUUGCUUGACUCCCUGUACCCCAAACCUGCCACUAGACCUCAACUAAACCCUCAUUUCAUUUAGGUGCUCCAAAUCUAGACCUCAACAGAAAUAUAUCUAUUGACCAUACCACAAAUAUUUGUAGUCUAGGGUACAAUAGGUUCAGAAUAACAGUCACCUUUCUCAAUGAAGAGAGUAAUUUUAAGCUUUAGUUAAGUUCUCUCCCAUGAAGUGCUGUUUACACAAAUAUCCUUCAAAGUAAUCAUCAAAACUGGGGAAGUUACACAAAGAAGAAUGUCUUAAUAAACUUAGCUCCAGCUAGGAGAGACUGAAUAAUCUCACAGGAAAUGAGUGGCCGUUUUUAGCUGAUUUUAGGGUCCAGGCACUGGAAAUUAAAGGAUCUAUUAUGGUUUUCCCAUAUACUACAACUUUAUGAUAAUAUCUUUCAUUAUCAAUUCAUUUCAAUAUCAUUCAGAAAUUUGUGUUUUCUUCUUUCAUUUGCCUUUCUCAAGUCCUUUCUAUGUAGGUAAGCAACACCUUGAGCUUGGCUCUCUCUUAGCCAGUGGAAAUCUUUUUCUCCUUCCACUUAGGAAUCACUGUACCUCCCUAGGCUGUCUCAGAACAACUUCCCCAGCCUUGGGCAAAAUGUCACACCCUGAGGAGAGACUUCACACUCAUUCUAUUCUGGUCACUUCUCUCUGUGAGCAAAAAUCAGAAAUGAGGUUUCUUGUGUGAUCCCAGCAAAUCUCAUCACUUUCAAAACUGUUCCCUCAUUGAAAAUAUAGAUUUGAAUAUUAACUCUGACAUUACCUGUGUGAUCUGCAGCCAACUACUUAAUUUCACUUUCCUUACAAAGUCCAACAGAGGGUGACUGUGAUUGUAAGGGCUUCAAGAAGAGGGAAAGCUGCCAUCUGCAAGUACUGGGUGAGCUGCUGUUUGUUUUGUUUUUAUUUGUUAAGUAGUAUUUUAUUUUCCAAAUACAUGCAAAGAUAGUUUUCAACAUUCACCUUUGCAAAACCUGUGUUUCCAACUUUUUCUUGGUCCUUUCCACCUCCCCACCAAAUAGCAAGCAAUCUGAUAAGAGUUAAAUGUGUAAUUCUUCUAUACAAACUUCCAUAUUUAUCAUGCUGUGCAAAAAAAAAAAAAAAUCAGAUCAAAAGGGAAAAACCAGAAGAAUGAAAAAAAAAAAUCAAGCAAACAAACAAUAAAAAGUGAAAAUACUCUGCUUUGAUUCACAUUCAGUCUCCAUAGUUCUCUCUCUGGAUGCAGUUGGCUCUUGCCAUCGCACAUCUUUUAAAAUUGCCUUGAAUUACGUCAUUGUUGAAAUGAGCUAAGUCUAUCAUAGUUGAUCAUUACAUAAUCUUGUUGUUAUGUGCAAUAUUUCCUUAGUUCUGCUCACUUCACUCAGCCUCAGUUCAUGUAAGUUUUUCCAGACUUCUUUGAAAGCAGCCUUCUGAUCAUUUCUUAUAGAACAAUAAUAUUCUAUUAUAUUCAAUUACCAUAACUUAUUCAGCUAUUUCCCAACUGAUGGGCAUACACUCAAUGUCCAGUUCCUUGCCACUACUAAAAGGGCUCCUACAAAGAUUUUUGCACAUGUGGUUAUUUUUUCCUUUUUUAUGUUCUCUUUGGGAUACAAACCCAGCAGAAAUACAACUGGAUCAAAGGGUAUGCACAGUUUGGUGGCUUAUUGGCCAUAACUCAAAAUGCUCUUCAAAAUGGUUAAAUCAUUUUACAAUUCCAUCAACAAUGCAUUAGUGUCCCAGUUUUCUCACAUCCCCUCCAACAUUUAUCAUCUUUUCUAAGAAGUGGGAAAUGGUACUUCAGAGUUCGCUUAAUUUGGGGCUGCUAUUUUGGAAAGUGGAUUUGAUUUGUUCUACUUUGUCCCAGAGAACAGGAUUAGAAACAAUUGAUAGAAAUUACAGAAUAGUAGAAAAAUUUCUGAACAAUUAGAAUUAUAGAAAAACAUAAUAGACUACUUAGGGCAUAAGUAGUAAGUUCUCUUCAAAAACUGGAGAAUAUUCUUUGAGAAUGUUAUAGAAGAGGUUCUGGUUCUAGAUGAUCUUUGAAGUUUCCUUCAGCUUUAAGUAUCUGUAGUUCUCUUAAUCUCUGCCUAGAUACUUUUUACACCCUAGAAAAAUAUAUGUGAACUACUCCUUGAACAGUGAAAUAAAAUUUGAGUGCCACUGGUUUUGAAUAUUGAACAGUAAAUUAUUCACUUCUCUUUGUCUAUGCAUUACUCUAACACUUGUCAGAUGAUCAGCCUAAAGACUAAUCACACCUUUCUGAAAGGUGAUAUAUAUCAUCUGACAUUUAAAUACCAACUUAAUUUUCAAAGUCUUAAAAGACUCAGGGUAGCUAGAUGGAGCAAUGGAUAGAGCACCAGCCCUGAAAUCAAGAGGACCUGAGUUCAAAUUUGGCCUCAGAUACUUAACAUUUCCUAGCUGUGUGACCCUGGGCAAGUCAUUUAACCCCAAGUGCCUCAGCAAAAAAAACAAACAAACCAAAAAAAAUCAUUAUCUCAAUUAGCUCUCAAAACAGCUCUAUGAGAUCUCGGGUUUUCUGACUCCAGUGCUGUUUUUACUAUAACCUAAUACCUCAGGACAUCCAUUUAUGUACCAGUUUAUAGAUAAGAAAACAUUAAGCAAUUGAGUGAGUAAUAUGUUAAUAAGAUUCAAAAUAGAAACUAAGUUUAAUAUCUGUUAAACCAGGAGUCUAAUCAAUGGAUCAUACAAUCUCUUUAUGGUUAAGUAUGGAAAAAAAAUGGCCAUCUGUAGUUACUAUGGAAUUAAAAGUAUUGUUAUUAGGUUUACUUUCCUGUCAUUCAAAAUGCCCUACCUUUAUGUCUGACAAUAAAUAAAUACAUUGUUUUCUUAGAA